CUGAAUAAUACAGUUGGUUUGCUUUGUUUGAUACAACCGCAAUGAAUGCCGGGAAAAGCCCGCGAAUUCAAAUGAAACAAUGAACAGAGAGGCAGAGAAAUCCGUGUAUGGUUCGUUCAUUGAAUAUACAUCCGUCAAUGUUUGGAUUGUGUAAUAAUAAUUUGCAUUGUAUCUUUGAAUAAUGGCUAGCCUAGCGAUCAUCUACGUUCAAUGUUCAUCUAUGUUCAGUUCUUUCUUUGCCGUUGGGCUCACGAGCCGAUCAGUUGAUCGGAACAGCGAAUGUUUGGGAACUGUAGUUCUCUAGUAGUUAAGCGGAACUGGCGGCCGUUUAAUUCAAAAUACAUUUCCCUACAUGCAUCGCGUUGAGCUCAUGAGCCGAACAGCUGAUUUGAGAAGGAGAUGAAAGAUCUAGUGAAACGGAAGGUUUAAUUGUAGUGUUUAUUAUUUUCAACAGAAUAAUGACUGGCAUUCGUAGGUCCCCGGCGGACUUUGCAUCGUCCGGUCAUCCGGAUACGAUUGCUUUGAGGGAUCUGGCCUCCAAGAACUAUCACAUUUGUGUAGAUGACGUCUACACAAAAGAGCAGAAGAUGCCGAGAAGGCGAAGCACACCGAGAAUGUGCACAGGCAGCAGCUGGAGUGCCUACGGAGGGAGAACGAACGACUUGGACAGGAUCUCAGGACAUCCCAGGCCAGCUUGUCUGUUACGCAAACAGAUCUGGACGCCACACAGAACGAACUCGAUGACCUCCGCUGCACGAACGCCUCCCAAGAACUGGACUACCUGGACAGCAUGA
rnacentral:lncRNA from 1 species